UGCGUGCUGAGCGAGGGGAUGCCGCAAGCGAUUAGUUACUGGUGUUGCUAGGGGCGAGGGGUUGCGGGAGUUUCUGGAGUUUUAGGGCCCCUUUUAUUGUAUCGCGUAACUGCGCAGGCCUCUGUUAGUGUCAAAACAGCACACUGUUAGUGUCAAAGUCUAUUUACUGCACUUUUCUCGUGUACACUGGCCAAUAUCGAGAGCAGUCGUUUUAAUGUUAAAUACGUAAAAAAUAUAGUUUAAUCAUAACUAUUUGUUGCAGCUAGUCGCGUCAGUUUAUGACGAUAGAAUGAAGAAAGGCAUGUUGCUAUGAAUAUUAUAAUGGAUUUAAAACAGGUCACUCUCGUAAUUAAGGUCAAAUAUUGCUCGACACGUUUAACCAAUAUGAGUCUUAAUUACUACUUACAAGAUGUCUAGUGUCACGGGGGUUUUCUAUUUUUACAGUUAAAGUCAAUGUUUAGGGAAAAAGCGUCUGCGAAGUUGUAUAUUUAAAUUGUAGAUUUUUUUUGGUUAAUUAUGUAAUGUACUGAUGAUCAUGAUAGCAAGAUCAAAAUAGUUUUGACAUGAUGCAAUAUUAUAGUGUAAUUUUUUUCAUAGAAUAAAGAAAUCGAGUUCAACCUAAUCUUAAAUACUACCUUGUAUUACUCAAUGAUCUAUGUAUGAACGACCUAAGCUCUACUUCGCAUUUCAAACAGAAAAGCGGCAUUGGAACUUUCAAAAUAUUAACUUGAAUAUUGGUUUCGCAUCUCGCGCCGAAUAAUACAUUAUCCAAGAGUUCAAACGAGACGUACUGCCGGGUCUGAGUUCCUAUUAACCUCUCUCAAUACAUCUAUCAAUAUUAUUCAUUAAACAAUACUGUAUUAACAAUCCGAAUUUACGUUUUUUUAAUCGUGUCCUUGGCAACCCUAUUAUACGUACACUAAAAUCGGCUUAACUACAAUACAUGUGCUAUAUUGUUGUGCAUUUACAUAAAUACUAAGAGCUGGCAAACGAGCAGACGGAUCACCUGAUGGUAGUUAGAAAUCUCCAGGAUGGCUACAUGAUACCUAAUUCUUCAAAUUAAAAACGACCGAUUGUAUUAAAGCUAUCAUAUUACGACCUUGUCAAUAGGAUAAU